rnacentral:lncRNA from 1 species
GGAAGAUAAACGUAGUGAAAAUAACCAAAUGAAAAGAAUUGGAGGACUUAAAAGUCAAGGGUUCAGAGGUGCUGUGGUUUGUUGAAGACAUGGCCUAGGGGUGGCCAUGGGAUUGAGUGAUUGAAGCACAAUGGAGAAGGUAAUUGGAGAUGGAAUCAAGAAACUGAGAAGUCAGCAGGAUUGUAACAGGAGUAGGAUCUGUUUGAUACUUGCUACUCCCAGGUAAAACAAAACAGCAAGGACAUCAGCACAUAACUGAAGUUUGUCCAGUGGGAUUCCCACAUUGAAUCCAGAAGGAGUGAUGCAAAGAUGCAGAAACCAUCAAGCUAUCUACUGAGACAGUGAUGAUGUCAGUAAUUCAGGAGAAGAGAAUGUCUGGUGGUGGCACUGUCCUUAGUUUCUAUUUAGGCUCUUCCUAUAACAGUUCUUCACCAAGUUCUGGCAGCAUUCUAAUCAGACUAUUCCUUCAGUGGUCCUUGGCUGAUUCAUCUGCUGCCAGCCUCCUUUGGCUCCUGUCUGAUUUCUGAGCCUGAUUUUUAACUUUCCCAAAUAACUUUGUAUAUAGAUACUGUUACUCUUUCAGUAAAUUCCAUUCUAUUUAAUCUACCUAGAAUUGGUUACUAAUGCUGGCAAAUAGGAAUUCUGACUUGUACAGAAACUGGUAAUGGGGAUUCGGUUACACACAACAGACUUUCAGGGAAAUCAGGAGAAUCUGGGUAUGCAGACUCAUUGUGUUUGAAGAUAAUAAAAACCAAUUAAUAUUCAAAGAUGAGACUCUGGAAACCCACAGCUUAUAGUAGUAAAAUAGCUAAUGAAAUUAAUGC